rnacentral:rRNA from 1 species
UACGAAGGGGGCUAGCGUUGCUCGGAAUCACUGGGCGUAAAGCGCACGUAGGCGGAUAUUUAAGUCGGUGGUGAAAUCCUGGAGCUCAACUCCAGAACUGCCUCCGAUACUGAAUGUCUUCGAGUCCGGGAGAGGUGAGUGGAACUGCGAGUGUAGAGGUGGAAUUCGUAGAUAUUAGGAAGAACACCAGUGGCGAAGGCGGCUCACUGGUCCGGUACUGACGCUGAGGUGCGAAAGCGUGGGGAGCAAACAGGG